UGGGUUAUAUUAUUUUAUCAAAGUUAACAUAAUCUUGCUAAGUUACCCGGAAGUCCAUUUGACACAUUUAAAAUACGCCAACACUGACGAAAAACCGCUUAUCACUUUGGACAAGUCACCAAGAAAGCAAUAUGAAAGUCACAGCUCUUGCCAUUCUUGCCCUACUCGGCACCGUUGGGGUUGCCCUCAGUAUGGGAUACGGUGGCUACCAGUACGUGCCAGCAUAUGGGUACGGUCAGAGCGCCGGAGGCCUUGGUGGAGACGGCACAUUUCUGAUGAUGAUAGGUUUUCUAUUCCUCAUUCUCAUACUCUUCACAAACAUUGGUAGUACCUCUGUCGUCAAUAACUACACCGGAACUGGAACAUUCGGUCGAUAAAUGGUA